UUUAUUUGUAUUUUUCAAAAGUAUGUGUGAACAUCUCAAUUCUUAGAAGAAUAAAAACUAACAGAUACUUUCUUGUUUUAGUUAAAAAUGCAUCAACUACACUCUUCCCUCUUGUGGCUUCAAAACAGGUCUGCCACCAAAUAAGGAGACUUGAUGCUACUUUACAAGGAUUUGAAUUGUGCCCUUGGAAGACCUGCAGAAGAAACACCCACCUGACACUGGGAGAUGAAACUGUAAGCUUUGCAAGGCCCUUGGGUAGAGGAUACCUGUGUCUCCAGUGUGGGAGAAACUGUUUCACCUGCUGA
rnacentral:lncRNA from 1 species